AGAAGAGAAGGUUGCUGUGUUGCAGCUUUACUGGGGUGAUUGUUCACUGGAGCUUGUUGAUCUUGCUCACCUUGCCUGUGUCAAAGUUGUUCCUCAGGUGGGGAAUGUCGAAGAAGCUAGAAAGGCUGUUGAUGUAGGAGUAGACGCCAUUAUUGUCCAAGGGUAUGAAGCAGGUGGGCAUGUAAUUGGAAAGGACGGUCUCUUUUCAUUGUUGCCAAGAGUGGUGGAUGUAGUUGGGGAAAGAGAUAUCCCCGUUAUUGCUGCUGGAGGAAUUGUGGAUGCACGCGGUUAUGUUGCAGCCUU